AGAGUUUGAUCCUGGCUCAGGACGAACGCUGGCGGCGUGCUUAACACAUGCAAGUCGAGCGAUGAAGCCCUUCGGGGUGGAUUAGCGGCGGACGGGUGAGUAACACGUGGGUAACCCGCCUCAAAGAGGGGGAUAGCCUCCCGAAAGGGAGAUUAAUACCGCAUAACAUUAGUUUUUUGCAUGAAGAACUAAUUAAAGGAGUAAUCCGCUUUGAGAUGGACCCGCGGCGCAUUAGCUAGUUGGUGAGGUAACGGCUCACCAAGGCCACGAUGCGUAGCCGACCUGAGAGGGUGAUCGGCCACAUUGGAACUGAGACACGGUCCAGACUCCUACGGGAGGCAGCAGUGGGGAAUAUUGCACAAUGGGCGAAAGCCUGAUGGAGCAACGCCGCGUGAGUGAUGAAGGCCUUCGGGUUGUAAAGCUCUGUCUUUGGGGACGAUAAUGACGGUACCCAAGGAGGAAGCCACGGCUAACUACGUGCCAGCAGCCGCGGUAAUACGUAGGUGGCGAGCGUUGUCCGGAUUUACUGGGCGUAAAGGAUGCGUAGGCGGAUAUUUAAGUGAGAUGUGAAAUACCCGGGCUUAACUUGGGUGCUGCAUUUCAAACUGGAUAUCUAGAGUGCGGGAGAGGAGAAUGGAAUUCCUAGUGUAGCGGUGAAAUGCGUAGAGAUUAGGAAGAACACCAGUGGCGAAGGCGAUUCUCUGGACCGUAACUGACGCUGAGGCAUGAAAGCGUGGGUAGCAAACAGGAUUAGAUACCCUGGUAGUCCACGCCGUAAACGAUGAGUACUAGGUGUAGGA
rnacentral:rRNA from 1 species